rnacentral:rRNA from 1 species
CUUCUGUACUGUCUCGGCCAUAAUCUCAGCGAAAUUGUAGUGAUGGUGAAGAUGCCAGCGUCCCGUUGUGGGACGGAAAGACCCCGUGCACCUUUACUAUAACCUAGCACUGGAUUUUGAUUUUAAAUGCGUAGGAUAGGUGGGAGACUAUGAAAGUUUAAUUUUGGUUAAGCUGGAGUCGUUGGUGAAAUACCACCCUUUUGAUGUUAGGAUUCUAACUUAAAUCCGUUAUCCGGAUUGAGGACAAUGUUAGGCGGGUAGUUUGACUGGGGCGGUUGACUCCUAAAGAGUAACGGAGUCGCUCAAAGGUUCUCUCAGCCUGAUUGGAAACCAGGCGUCGAGUGUAAUGGCACAAGAGAGCUUGACUGUGAGAUUGACAAAUCGAGCAGGUACGAAAGUAGGACAUAGUGACCCGGUGGCUUCCAUGUGGGAGGGCCAUCGAUCAUCGGAUAAAAGGUACGCCGGGGAUAACAGAUUAAUCGCGCCCAAGAGUUCACAUCGACGGCGCGGAUUGAUACCUCGAUGUCGGCUCAUCGCAUCCCGGGGCUGUAGAAGGUCCCAAGGGUUGAGCUGUUCGCUCAUUAAAGCGGUACGCGAGCUGGGUUCAGAACGUCGUGAGACAGUUCGGUCCCUAUCUACAACGGGCGAAGGAGAAUUGAGAGGGGUUGCUCAUAGUACGAGAGGACCUGAGUGAACAAACCUCUAGUGUACCAGUUGUUGUGCCAACAGCAGUGCUGGGUAGCUACGUUUGGAAAGGAUAACCGCUGAAAGCAUCUUAAGUGGGAAACCUGCCUCGAGAUUAAUUCUCCCGAACCAUUAGGUUCCUUAAGACCACUCGAAGACUACGAGUUUGAUAGGCACAGUGUGUAAGUUCAGUAAUGAAUUCAGCUAAUGUGUACUAAUCGGUCGUGAGCCUUAACUAC